ACCGAGAAGAGUUUCUUCAUGCCUAUGCAGGGCCAAGCUGGGCCAGGGUGGAGUAACUUGAGGACUCUAUGGGGAGAUGGGCUUAUUAUGGAAGGAUCCCCAAGCACAGCUGAAGAGCUCUGGGAGGAUGGAAGAGCAGAAUAGCCAGAAGCAGCUGCAGAGUUGGCAUGCUGGGAGACGACUAGAUCUGGGAAAGGAUGGGCUGGCAGGGGCACGCCUUUGAAUCCCUCUGCUGGAACCUUUACAGGUUGGCUCUUUGCAGCAUUCCAGUGGUGCCUGGGAAACGCCUGGCACUGCCUGACCACAGCUGCCUCCCUCCAGGAUUUCUUUCUGUUAAUCAGGAGCUCUCCCCUCAAUAGUUCCUGCCUCUGAUCACAACUGAGUCUGGAGCUUUUUCACUCGGAAGAAGUUGCUCCUCUUUGUCUUGGGGAUGCUGUUCUUUGUGGCUUCGCUGGCUUAUGGUGAGCCUUGUGGAGUGCC
rnacentral:lncRNA from 1 species